UGUCCCAGCUCCUGGCCUUCCGGGCGCACCCCCGGCAGCAGCAGGGAUGCCCCAUGGGUUCCAACCGCUAGCCCCGGCCCCCGGCAGUCCCAAAGCAGCCCGGGAGGUUCGAGGGGGCGGGCCCCGGGAGGGGGCGGAUCCGGAGGGCCCGGCCCAGCGGGCGGGCCCGCUCCCCUCCCCCCCGAGCGGAGCCCCCCGCCGGGGCCGAAUCCCGCGCGCCGCGCUCCGGGGCUCCUCCGGCUGCGCUUGGCGCCGGAGCUCGGCCGCCGCCGCUGCUGUCCGACGUGUCACUGCGAGGGCCCCGCCCCCAGGGGCGGGGUCUCCGGCUCCGGCUACCGGAGAGGGCGGAGAGGGGGGAGGUUAAAGGGGAAGGACCCCCGGAAGUGCCCCCUCCUCAGCGUGCGAGAGGGAGACGCCGGGGGGCGGAGUCGCCCGCCUCCCCCCGCCGGUUGGUGCGUCCCGGGUGACGUCAGAGGCAGCCCUCCCCUGCCGGUGGUGCGCCCUGAGUGACGUCAGGAGCCGCGGCCGGAGCUGUCCAUCAGCACCAGAGGCCUCGGGCGGGCUCAGGGCAUGGGGCCGCGGCUCUGGGGCAGCCCGAGCCCUUGCUCCUGCUCCUCUCCCUUUCCCAGGCCCGGUCCAAGUGCCCGGACGCCGCGGGACUGGAGUGCCAGGCGGUGUUGGAGGUGGAGCGGCGACGGCGCCGCGCAGAGACCGGGCUCCGCGGCCCAGCAGCCCCCUGCCCCACACGACGGACUUUCCCAGGACCUCAGUCAGUGGGAGCCUCUGGCGCCCCGCGACCCCGGCCCCUCCGGCGCCCGCUCGGCCGCUUUGGCUCAGAAGCUCAGGUCGCCUCCAGCGCAGGUGGACCUGGGAGGGUGACCCCUCUGGCUUCCCAGCACUAUGCCGGGCACUGCGGCGACACUGCGAUUCCAGCUGCUCCCCCCCGAGCCAGACGAUGCCUUCUGGGGUGCGCCUUGUGAACAUCCCCUGGAGCGCAGGUACCAGGCGCUGCCGGCCCUCGUCUGCAUCAUGUGCUGUUUGUUUGGAGUCGUCUACUGCUUCUUCGGUUACCGCUGCUUCAAGGCGGUGCUCUUCCUCACUGGGUUGCUGUUCGCUCCGUCGCAUCUUCCUGCUGUGCUACC
rnacentral:lncRNA from 1 species